UAGAAGAGUUCUUUGUCUACGUGGCAUUACAGGAAUUGUUGAGAUUGAGAGAGAGACUUAAAAAAAAUUUAGAAGAGAAGAAGAAUGGAUUCACGAACCAAGGCGAAGAAAGAAGAAUGGAUUCACGAAGGCCAAUUUAUAAAUCUGAUUUCUCACGUCUUCUCCCUUUUCCUUAAUUCCGGAGUUCUUUAUUUUUAUUUUUGACUCGCAAUCUCACAACGAACAAAGCUCGAAGAAGAACGGAUUCACGAACCAAGGGGAAGACGGUGAUGGAAGUUGGUAGCAAUGGCGUUGCCGUCAUCACACUCAUCAAUCCUCUUGUCAAUUCUCUCUCUUUCGACGAUAUGCAAACCGAGAUAGGCUAAGCCCCGAGCACGAGAGAAUGAAUGUUGAGAUGCUGCUACCUUAUCACCCUGAGUUUGAGAAGAAGAUCAGAUGUGGGAUAGACUAUAUCAUGGUUGGGCAUCACCCAGAUUUUGAGAGCUCUCGAUGUAUCUUCAUAGUGCGAAGAGAUGGAUUGUUUGUUUGGUUUUUAAAAAAAAAAAUUAUUUACAAUGUUUUGUUGUUUCAUAGA